ACCAACAGGGAUUGCCCCAGUAACGGCGAGUGAAGCGGCAACAGCUCAAAUUUGAAAUCUGGCCCCUCCCACGGGGGGGCCCGAGUUGUAAUUUGCAGAGGAUGCUUCUGGCGAGGUGCCUUCCGAGUUCCCUGGAACGGGACGCCACAGAGGGUGAGAGCCCCGUCUGGUCGGACACCGAGCCUCUGUGAAGCUCCUUCGACGAGUCGAGUAGUUUGGGAAUGCUGCUCUAAAUGGGAGGUAUAUGUCUUCUAAAGCUAAAUACCGGCCAGAGACCGAUAGCGCACAAGUAGAGUGAUCGAAAGAUGAAAAGCACUUUGAAAAGAGGGUUAAACAGUACGUGAAAUUGUUGAAAGGGAAGCGCUCACGACCAGACCUGGUCCCGGCGAAUCACCCGGCGUUCUCGCCGGUGCACUUCGACGGGCUUCCAGGCCAGCAUCAGUCCGCGCCGGGGGACAAAGGCGGCGGGAACGUGGCUCCCCAGGGAGUGUUAUAGCCCGCCGCGCAAUGCCCCGGGGGCGGACUGAGGACCGCGCGUCACCGCAAGGAUGCUGGCGUAAUGGUCGUCAGCGACCCGUCUUGAAACACGGACCAAGGAGUCGUCCUCGUAUGCGAGUGUUGGGGCGUCAAACCCCCCGCGCGUAAUGAAAGUGAACCACGGUGAGAGCCCUCGCGGGCGCAUCAUCGACCGAUCCUGAAGUUCUCGGAUGGAUUUGAGUAAGAGCAUACGGGGCCGGACCCGAAAGAAGGUGAACUAUGCCUGUGUAGGGUGAAGCCAGAGGAAACUCUGGUGGAGGCUCGCAGCGGUUCUGACGUGCAAAUCGAUCGUCAAACAUGGGCA
rnacentral:rRNA from 1 species